GUAUUAACUGCACCUUUGCGGUGCCACAGCAACGACACGUAUAUUUCUUGGACGAGCUGUCCAGUUUGUUUCAAGGCGGGAAUGAGUUUGUGCUGCUUGUUGGAGAUCAGCUAAUAGAGAGGUUCACAGACAACAACAACAUGACAUGACCCGACCAGCUCUGCAAGAAGUCAUGCACUCACUUUAGGAGUAUAUAUAAACGUGCUGCAGCUAUAUCAAAUUCUUGUUUUUAUUUUAGGAUGCCAAGAAUAUAUACUUCUAUUAAAAAUAUACAUCUAUAAUAUAAAAAUAUGCAUCCGAUUUCGUA